UUAGUGCCGCUUCAAGCCUUUCUUUUUGAGUCUACCUCAGGUUCUGAUUUAUUUCUGCAAUUCAGCCUCUUAUGCCGAAAGGCGAACUAAAAAGGUCAUAUAUUAUGUCGAAUAAAAUUCUUGGAACCGUGAAGUGGUUUAACUCAGAAAAAGGUUUUGGUUUUAUCUCUCCGGAGAAUGGCAGCAAGGACGUUUUCGUCCACUUCUCUGCUAUCCAGGGCACUGAUUACCGCUCGCUUGACGAAGGUCAGCGCGUUGAGUUUUCUGUUGAGCAGGGUCCGAAAGGCCCGUCAGCAGUAAACGUUGUAGGGCUUUAAUAUUAGCCUUUCAGCCAGACG
rnacentral:sRNA from 1 species